UAGAAUUUAAUUUAAGGUCUAACCUGCCCACUGAUAAAAUUAAAUGGCCGCAGUAUUUUAACUGUGCAAAGGUAGCAUAAUCAUUAGUCUUUUAAUUGAAGGCUUGUAUGAAUGGUUGGACGAAAUAUUAACUGUUUCAUAAAAAUUUAUUUAGAAUUUUAUUUUUUAGUUAAAAAGCUAAAAUUUUUUUAAAAGACGAGAAGACCCUAUAGAUCUUUAUAACUUAUUUAUUAUAGUUAUAUAGAUUAUUUAAAUUAUGAUUUUAUAAGUUAUUUUGUUGGGGUGACAUUAAAAUUUAAUAAACUUUUAAUAAAUUUUUACAUUAAUUUAUGAGUAAUUGAUCCAUUAUUAGUGAUUAUAAAAUUAAGUUACCUUAGGGAUAACAGCGUAAUUUUUUUGAAGAGUUCAUAUCGAUAAAAAAGAUUGCGACCUCGAUGUUGGAUUAAGAUAUAAUUUUGGGUGCAGCAAUUCAAUAAUUAAGUCUGUUCGACUUUUAAUUUCUUACAUGA
rnacentral:rRNA from 1 species